CUGCCUUUGGGCCUUUGUCAGCUGUGUUACAAGGAAGUCACUGAACCUCUUCAGGAAACACUUCCUCAUCUACUAUAAAAGCUCAUGGGGGUGAUGAUAGCACCCAAGACGCAUCUCUGCAAGCAGCAAAGGAGAAGAGCAGUCAACAUUUUCCUGUGCCAGUCACUGUCCAUGAAAGCAUGUAAUAGUCUCUGCAGAAUCAUAGAACCUUGGAUUUGGAAGAUAAUUUCAAGAACACCUUGCCCUAUCCCCAAGAAGUAAUGGAGAUCCAAAGAGGCUGAGUGACAAACCCAAAGCUAUACAACCAGUUAGUGGUAGGACCUCUGACAAAAUCCUGGUGUUAACUUCAGGACUGUAACCAAAGGCGUUCUAGUUGCUAGCGGAUGCAACUUCCCACAUGCUCCAGUAUCUCUCCAUUGCUAUAAAUCCAGAACCACACACAUAACAUCCCUGUGAUUCCACAGACCUAUUGCUGAGAAUAUCCUCCUUAAGUGCUGAACAUUGCCCCGUUGGCCCUAGAAUGGUUGCCAAGUGAGGGCUCCUAAAGUUGUGCCAAGUCCCCCAUCCUUUCUGUUAAGUGACCCACAGCAUGGAAGCCACACCUGAAAAAGCUGAUUCUGUGCCCUAAUCCAAUUUCUGACUUGAUUCCUUACUAAGGAAUUCUGAUCAAUCCUGUCUGGAUUUUGCUUUAAACACUCAUAUUUUCUGAGCAUUCAUAACAUAUAACACUCACUGUAAAGACCAAGGGAACUAUGGUUUCUGAGUGAAUGGAUGCGGUUUUUGCUACGCUCGUAAACUCUCUCAAAUUUGGUCUGGGAAGCAUACAUUUAACAUCCCAGGUUAAAAUUUACUUUACUUGUUAAGUGCAUUUAUCAAUGGAACAAUUUUAUUUUGUUUGUUUAAUUGAGUAACAUCACAAGUGCAGAAGACAAAUAAAUUAGUUGGGUUGGAGGUGGGGAAAGUGUCUACACCUAUUUUAGGAAACCAAUAGCAACAUCUCAAAAUGCAAACAGUUAUAGCACUUAGAAUGCCCCAGGCACUCUUCUAAGAGCUUUACCCUGUCAACUCAUUUAAUCUUCAGAAAAACUCUGAAGAGAUAGCUGUUAAUAUUAUCCCAUUGUAUAGAAAAGAAACUCAGCACAGAUACAGUAAGUAAUUAGCCCAUUGUUACUCAGCUAGUAAGUGGCAAGGCCAGGAUUAUGAACUCAGCAAUUCAUGUUUCACCACUAUGUUAUACCUAACACAGGAAACUUGAGAAAGGAAAUUAAAACAACCUUUUAACCUCCAUUUUCUAAGCAUUUCAGGUUAAAUUAUUUAGGUAUCUGAGAUAAUUAUUUGGACAACUGACCCAAGAGCUAGAGACAAUACCAUGCAAAUCAUCUGAUCAUUUUUAUCAUAAUUCAGUUUACAUUUUCACAAUUUUACAAAAUAUAGUCAAAUGUAUGAGAACAUUUCUAUACUUCUUGACCUUGAUAAAUAAAAUAUGUCACUAGCUGCCUACUAUGUGCAAGGCUUUAGUGCAAUAACCAUGAAUUAAUCACAGUUCUUCUCAAGAUGCUUACUAUCUUCUUGGGGGAGAUAGUAUUUGAACAUAGAAAAAUGCAACAACAUGGGCAAUACAUGGUAUGUAUCAAAUUGGGAGGCUGAUGGCAAGUGCAAAAAAAAAAAAAAAAUCCCUCUAGAAAUAAUUUGAAAAUUCAGCAUUUUAAACACUAAAGAAUAUAAAAGCCUU